rnacentral:rRNA from 1 species
GACGAACGCUGGCGGCGUGCUUAACACAUGCCAGUCGAACGGAAAGGCCCCUUUGGGGUUACUCGAGUGGCGAACGGGUGAGUAACACGUGAGUAACCUGCCCUUGACUUCGGGAUAACUUCAGGAAACUGGGGCUAAUACCGGAUAGGAAUCCUUGCUGCAUGGUGGGGGUUGGAAAGCUUCGGCGGUUUUGGAUGGACUCGCGGCUUAUCAGCUUGUUGGUGGGGUAGUGGCUUACCAAGGCUUUGACGGGUAGCCGGCCUGAGAGGGCGACCGGCCACAUUGGGACUGAGAUACGGCCCAGACUCCUACGGGAGGCAGCAGUGGGGAAUAUUGCACAAUGGGCGGAAGCCUGAUGCAGCAACGCCGCGUGCGGGAUGACGGCCUUCGGGUUGUAAACCGCUUUCAGCAGGGGCGAAGCUUGUGGUGACGGUACCUGCAGAAGAAGCACCGGCUAACUACGUG